UACGGAGGGUGCGAGCGUUAUCCGGAUUUACUGGGUUUAAAGGGUGCGCAGGCGGCCUGUUAAGUCCGGGGUGAAAUCCUACAGCUCAACUGUAGAACUGCCUUGGAUACUAUCAGGCUUGAAUUAGGUAGAGGUCAGCGGAAUACAACAUGUAGCGGUGAAAUGCAUAGAUAUGUUGUGGAACACCGAUUGCGAAGGCAGCUGACUGGGCCUAUAUUGACGCUCAGGCACGAAAGCGUGGGUAGCGAACAGG
rnacentral:ncRNA from 2 species